CCUACGGGCGGCAGCAGUGGGGAAUAUUGGACAAUGGGGGCAACCCUGAUGCAGCGACGCCGCGUGUGUGAAGAAGUAUUUCGGUACGUAAAGCUCUAUCAGCAGGAAAGAAAAUGACGGUACCUGACUAAGAAGCCCCGGCUAACUCCGUGCCAGCAGCCGCGGUAAUACGUAGGGGGCAAGCGUUAUCCGGAUUUACUGGGUGAAAAGGGAGCGUAGACGGCAGGGCAAGUCUGGAGUGAAAUGCCGGGGCCCAACCCCGGAACUGCUCCUGAAACUGUGAAGCUGGAGUGCAGGAGAGGGAGGUAGAAUUCCAGGUGUAGCGGUGAAAUGCGUAGAUAUCAGGAGGAACACCGGCGGCGAAGGCGGCUUACUGGACUGUAACUGACACUGAGGCUCGAAAGUGUGGGUAGCAAACAGGAUUAGAUACCCGGGUAGUC
rnacentral:rRNA from 1 species